GAUGAGACUAUAUAGUAUCAGCUAGUUGGUAAGGUAAUGGCUUACCAAGGCUAUGACGCUUAACUGGUCUGAGAGGAUGAUCAGUCACACUGGAACUGAGACACGGUCCAGACUCCUACGGGAGGCAGCAGUAGGGAAUAUUGCGCAAUGGGGGAAACCCUGACGCAGCAACGCCGCGUGGAGGAUGACACUUUUCGGAGCGUAAACUCCUUUUCUUAGGGAAGAAUUCUGACGGUACCUAAGGAAUAAGCACCGGCUAACUCCGUGCCAGCAGCCGCGGUAAUACGGAGGGUGCAAGCGUUACUCGGAAUCACUGGGCGUAAAGGGCGCGUAGGCGGAUUAUCAAGUCUCUUGUGAAAUCUAAUGGCUUAACCAUUAAACUGCUUGGGAAACUGAUAGUCUAGAGUGAGGGAGAGGCAGAUGGAAUUGGUGGUGUAGGGGUAAAAUCCGUAGAUAUCACCAAGAAUACCCAUUGCGAAGGCGAUCUGCUGGAACUCAACUGACGCUAAGGCGCGAAAGCGUGGGGAGCAAACAGGAUUAGAUACCCUGGUAGUCCACGCCCUAAACGAUGUACACUAGUUGUUGGGAUGCUAGUCAUCUCAGUAAUGCAGCUAACGCAUUAAGUGUACCGCCUGGGGAGUACGGUCGCAAGAUUAAAACUCAAAGGAAUAGACGGGGACCCGCACAAGCGGUGGAGCAUGUGGUUUAAUUCGAAGAUACGCGAAGAACCUUACCUGGGCUUGAUAUCCUAAGAACCUUAUAGAGAUAUGAGGGUGCUAGCUUGCUAGAACUUAGAGACAGGUGCUGCACGGCUGUCGUCAGCUCGUGUCGUGAGAUGUUGGGUUAAGUCCCGCAACGAGCGCAACCCACGUAUUUAGUUGCUAACGGUUCGGCCGAGCACUCUAAAUAGACUGCCUUCGUAAGGAGGAGGAAGGUGUGGACGACGUCAAGUCAUCAUGGCCCUUAUGCCCAGGGCGACACACGUGCUACAAUGGCAUAUACAAUGAGACGCAAUACCGCGAGGUGGAGCAAAUCUAUAAAAUAUGUCCCAGUUCGGAUUGUUCUCUGCAACUCGAGAGCAUGAAGCCGGAAUCGCUAGUAAUCGUAGAUCAGCCAUGCUACGGUGAAUACGUUCCCGGGUCUUGUACUCACCGCCCGUCACACCAUGGGAGUUGAUUUCACUCGAAGCCGGAAUACUAAACUAGUUACCGUCCACAGUGGAAUCAGCGACUGGGGUGAAGUCGUAACAAGGUAACCGUAGGAGAACCUGCGGUUGGAUCACCUCCUUUCUA
rnacentral:rRNA from 1 species